rnacentral:rRNA from 1 species
UACGAAGGGGGCUAGCGUUGUUCGGAUUUACUGGGCGUAAAGCGCGUGUAGGCGGGUCGUUAAGUUGGGGGUGAAAUCCCGAGGCUCAACCUCGGAACUGCCUUCAAAACUGGCGACCUGGACUCAAGUAGAGGCAAGUGGAAUUGCGAGUGUAGAGGUGAAAUUCGUAGAUAUUCGCAGGAACACCAGUGGCGAAGGCGACUUGCUGGACCUGUAGUGACGCUGAGACGCGAAAGCGUGGGGAGCAAACAGG